rnacentral:rRNA from 1 species
UACGUGGGGGGCUAGCGUUGUCCGGAUUUAUUGGGCGUAAAGAGCGUGUAGGCGGCCAGGUAGGUCUGCUGUGAAAACUCGAGGCUCAACCUCGAGACGUCGGCGGAAACCAUCUGGCUAGAGUCCGGAAGAGGAGAGUGGAAUUCCUGGUGUAGCGGUGAAAUGCGCAGAUAUCAGGAAGAACACCCGUGGCGAAGGCGGCUCUCUGGGACGGUACUGACGCUGAGACGCGAAAGCGUGGGGAGCGAACAGG